ensembl:lncRNA
GACACAUUACAGGAAGGGCUGUGGAUCUAGUAGGUGUCCUUACAGACACAUUACAGGAAGGGCUGUGGAUCUAGUAGAGGCCCUUACAGACACAUUACAGGAAGGGCUGUGGAUCUAGUAGGUGCCCUUACAGACACAUUACAGGAAGGGCUAUGGAUCUAGUAGGUGCCCUUACAGACACAUUACAGGAAGGGCUGUGGACCUUACAGACACAUUACAGGAAGGGCUGUGGACCUUACAGACACAUUACAGGAAGGGCUGUGGACCUUACAGACACAUUACAGGAAGGGCUGUGGAUCUAGUAGGUGCCCUUACAGACACAUUACAGGAAGGGCUGUGGAUCUAGUAGAGGCCCUUACAGACACAUUACAGGAAGGGCUGUGGAUCUAGUAGGUGCCCUUACAGACACAUUACAGGAAGGGCUGUGGAUCUAGUAGGUGCCCUUACAGACACAUUACAGGAAGGGCUGUGGAUCUAGUAGAGGCCCUUACAGACACAUUACAGGAAGGGCUGUGGAUCUAGUAGGUGCCCUUACAGACACAUUACAGGAAGGGCUGUGGAUCUAGUAGGUGCCCUUACAGACACAUUACAGGAAGGGCUGUGGAUCUAGUAGGUGCCCUUACAGACACAUUACAGGAAGGGCUGUGGAUCUAGUAGGUGCCCUUACAGACACAUUACAGGAAGCGCUGUGGAUGUAGUAGGUGCCCUUACAGACACAUUACAGGAAGGGCUGUGGAUCUAGUAGGUGCCCUUACAGACACAUUACAGGAAGCGCUGUGGAUCUAGUAGGUGCCCUUAGACACAUUACAGGAAUGGCUGUGGAUCUAGUAGGUGCCUUUACAGACACAUUACAGGACUACAGAAGGUAGGGUUACUAUGGAGAACUUUGGAAAGAGGUUGAAGAGAUUGCAGAGCUCUGUGAAAUAAGUGUACAAACAGUAUGUUAAAGACAGUCUAAAACAAGCGUGUGAUUCCACAAAUCAUUGAUGAUGAGCACUGUAGGACAGAAAGAUAGUGACCAAAGUGAUGGUGAGAGCUUCCAAAGAGCUGUCUUUUAUCAGCUGCUCGACAGUCUCACAGCUGAGCUGCAGAGGAGUUUUUCAAAGAAGAAUUGCGAGAUAAUGCAAGGGGCCCAGUCUCUCAACCCAAAGAGGACAACAUCCUUCAAUGUGGAACCUCUGUUUGCCUUUGCUCAAACAUGAGGUUCAUCAAACCAAGCGGCUUCUUAAUAGGAGAGAGCAAAGUGGAAGGGACUACUCUCCUUGACUUGGUUGUGUUUCUAGAACCUUAUAAAGAGGUCUUCCAUGAGCUAUUUAGACUCUGUAAGAUUUCUGUUACACCAGUCAGCACUGCUGGAAGAGGGGGAGGGGGACGUCGGGAGUACGGAUGGUGUUCUCACCGGUAGAUAUGGAGCAGGGGAGCAUCGGGUGAGUCUCCUGUUUUUGUUUUUUUCUGUCUGGGUUUAGUAUUUGAGUUAAAUUUUUGAUGUUUUUCUUUUUUUCUUUCAUGGGGUCUAAUUUUACUUUUGUUAGUUUAAAUGUAAGGGUUAAGGGAUUUUGUUAAGAGGAGGGCGGUAUUUAGUUAUUUGGAGGGUGUGGGGUUUGAUUUUUGUUUUUUACAUGAGGUUCACCUGAGGGAUGGAGGGAUGUUAGUAGGUUUAAGAGGGAGUGGGACAAGGGGGAGUCGGUUUGGGGUAUUGGGGGGGUGCACUCAUCGGAGGUAGGGAUUUUGUGUGGGCACAGGGAGGUAAAAAGUGGAGGGUUGAUGUUGGUGUAUGGGCCACAGGUGGCGGCAGACAGGAGGGAGAUGGUGGACUGUCUGGCGCCCCUGUGCGUCACAAAUAGGAAAUUAGUGAUAGGGGUGGAUUUUAAUAUAGAUUUAGGAGUAGGGGGGAAUAGCAGUGCAGGUGCCAUCACCAGGCUAAUGGCUUGCCAUGGUCUGGUUGAUGGUGGCCUGCACACUACUCUGAAAAUGGCCGGUCCUACAUGGCGCAACUCCAGGGGGGUUUCGCGGAGGCUCGACUAUAUUUUUGUAUCCAGGUCUUUGGCUAAGUUGUCUGGGCGGCUGUUGCCUGUUUUCUUUUCAGAUCACAACGGGGUGCUCCUGCAGGUGGGGACGCCAGUCUGCCUCUUCGGUAGGGGUACUGGAAGUUAGAUCGGGAUGUGCUGGAGGAGCAGCCUUUUGUUGACGCUUUUUUGGUUUCUUUUGGAGGCUUGAAGGCCUCCGGUCCAUGUGUGGGGGGGUGUUAGAGUGGUGGGAUUUAGUCAAGGUGAGGAUUAGGGCUUUUAUAAUAGGGUAUUGCAAGAGGAAAAAAAGGGAGGAGAGGAGGGAGGUGGAUCGUAUCCAAAGGUUAAUCGAACUCGAGUACGAGGCAAGCAACCUCGGCGGGUUGUUUGACUGGGAGAGAUCCGCAGCCCUAAAGGCGCAGCUCAGGGAGCUGCAGGAGCGGAAGGCUCGAGCUUUCCUAGAGCGUGCG